GUAUGGGGGAAAUCAGUGGGAUUUGGGGGAGAAUUUGUGGGGGGGUAAGGGAAAUUUGGGGGAUUUUGGGGUCUUUUGGGGAUCCCACACUAUGGGGGUGUCUGUGGCGUGGGGGAUCCCAAAAAUUUGGGUAAAAAACCCCCAAAUUUGGGCAAAAAUGGUGAAUUUUGGGGGUCAGAAUGGAGGGAUUUGGGGAGUGAGGGGUGGGGGAAAAGCAAUGGGAUUUUGGGGUGAAUUUGGGGGAUUUGGGGUGAAAUUUGGGGGAUUUUGGGGUCUUUUGGGAUCCCACACUAUGGGGAAUGGGUCUGAAAUGGGGGGAUCCCCAAACUUUGGGUGAAAAACCCCCAAAUUUGGGCAAAACUGGUGAAUUUUGGGGGUCAGAAUGGAGGGAUUUGGGGAGUGAGGAAUAGGGGAAAAGCAAUGGGAUUUUGGGGUGAAUUUUGGGAUUUUGGGUGAAAUUUGGGGGAUUUGGGGUCUUUGGGGAUCCCACACUAUGGGGGAGGGGUGUGAAAUGGGGGGGAUCCCAAAAUUUGGGUAAAAAACCCCCAAAUUUGGGCAAAAAUGGUGAAUUUUGGGGGUCAGAAUGGAGGGAUUUGGGGAGUGAGGGAUGGGGAAAAAGCAAUGGGAUUUUGGGGUGAAUUUUUGGGAUUUUAGGACAUUUGAGGCUUUUGGGGGCCAUUUGGGGUUUUUUGGGGGAUCCCCAAUUUUAGGGGAAACCCUUGGGGUGGGGAAAACCCCAAAAAUGGGUUUUUUUGACCCCAAAUUUUUCUCCAUUUUAGGGAAACCCUGGAGGACGACGCAGGGAAGGCGGUGGGCGACGCGGCCCCAAAGGACGCCUCGCCCAGCGCGCCGGGAAAGAGGUGAGAAAUGGGGGAUUUGUGGGGUCUGGGGGGGGAUUUAUGGGAUUUGGGGGGGGGGUUUGUGGGAUUUAUGGGGUUAUAGGGCCAGCCCCCCUUAUAGAGCCAGUCCCCCCUUAUAGGGUCACCCCCCCUUAUAGGGCCAGCACCCGUUUAUGGGGCCAGCACCCGCUUAUAGGGCCAGCUCCAUCUUAUAGGGUCACCCCCACUUAUAGGGCCAGCUCCAUCUUAUAGGGUCACCCCCCCUUAUAGGGCCAGCACCCCCUUAUAGGGCCAGCUCCCUCUUAUAGGGCC
rnacentral:lncRNA from 1 species